rnacentral:rRNA from 1 species
AAUGGACGAAAGUCUGAUGGAGCAAUGCCGCGUGAGUGAAGAAGGUUUUCGGAUCGUAAAACUCUGUUGUGAGGGAAGAACAAGUACGAGAGUAACUGCUCGUACCUUGACGGUACCUCAUUAGAAAGCCACGGCUAACUACGUGCCAGCAGCCGCGGUAAUACGUAGGUGGCAAGCGUUGUCCGGAAUUAUUGGGCGUA